rnacentral:misc_RNA from 1 species
CCUAAAGGGGUCAAGACCAAUUGGAUCAUGCAUGAGUACAAUCCCACUUUCAGCUUCCAAACCCAGAGGGAUUUAGUUCUUUGCAAAUUAAAGAGGAGGCCAGAUGAUGCAGAUAUGCCAACCUUGGAAGAAGGUGGAUCGAGUACCAUGAUGGCUUCUGCUUCUGGAAAUAAUACAACAGAGGAAGAUUCUCAGCUUCAUUUAUACAUGAAUUCAUUCGGUGGCAUCAAUGAGACGGAUUACAAUCUUAACUCUGCAAUGCAGUGGCCGCGGUACUACUAAGAAUUUACAUGUGUAUUUGAAAGGGGUAGCUGAUGCAUGCCGUAGGCUGUUUUGGUUUCUUGUCAGAUAUGACAAGCCAGCCAGCUCAAGUUGACGCAGUUAUAUUUUUUAUGUGUAUCAGAGGUGUUGUAUGAGAUUUUCUGCUUACAGUUUUAUAUGUAUUUCAUGCUAGUUUGUU